rnacentral:lncRNA from 1 species
UUAUGCAAACAAGAGGCUCUCAAGAGCCUGAAUCGCUCACCUGGUAAACAAUGCCUUAUUGAACAUAUUGAACCAUGCCAGGCAAACAUGUACAGCUAACAAUUCUUCAAUAUUACAAAUAUAUAUGACUUACUGUUUAUAAAUAAAGAAAAUGAGACCAAAACACAAACACUUAAAACUUAGCAAUGGACUGUGAAAAUG